AUGGCCAUGCAUACUUUAUAUUUGAGAGUUCAAUGUCAGAAUGUGGGAGAAGAGUGGUGCACAGUGCCUGAUGAGGUUUACAUAUGCUCUCACCUGAACAAAAGCUGCAAGGCUGGAGCAGCACCGGAGAGCGUGCAAAUAAUUUCCCCCCAAAUCUGGACUCCAGGACACUCCUCCUGCACACAGAUGAACGCCCCCAUGAGCAAAUUGCCUCUCCAGCCUGUCCAGAGUCACCUAGACUGCUGGCAAAUGGUUUUUUCAGAGCAAGGUGGCGUGCUCUCUUCAUGUGAGAAGUCGUGUCAUCCAGGGAGCGCUGGGGUUGGCUCAUUAAAAUAUCACCUGGUUAAAGUAAAUCAAUGUUGA
rnacentral:lncRNA from 12 species